UACAGAGGUCUCAACCGUUGUUCGGAUUCAUUGGGCGUAAAGGGUGCGUAGGUGGCGCUGUAAGUCGGGUGUGAAAUUUCGGAGCUUAACUCCGAAACUGCAUUCGAUACUGCGGUGCUUGAGGACUGGAGAGGAGACUGGAAUUUAUGGUGUAGCAGUGAAAUGCGUAGAGAUCAUAAGGAAGACCAGUGGCGAAGGCGGGUCUCUGGACAGUUCCUGACACUGAGGCACGAAGGCCAGGGGAGCAAACGGG
rnacentral:rRNA from 1 species